UAGGGAAUAUUGGACAAUGGGGGCAACCCUGAUCCAGCCAUGCCGCGUGAGUGAAGAAGGCCCUCGGGUUGUAAAGCUCUUUUGUCCGGAAAGAAAAGCUUCGGGUUAAUACCCCGGGGUUCUGACGGUACCGGAAGAAUAAGCACCGGCUAACUUCGUGCCAGCAGCCGCGGUAAUACGGAGGGUGCAAGCGUUACCCGGAAUUACUGGGCGUAAAGCGUGCGUAGGUGGUUGUUUAAGUCUGAUGUGAAAGCCCUGGGCUCAACCUUGGAAUGGCAUUUGAAACUGGGCAGCUAGAUUGCGGUAGAGGGCAGUGUAAUUCCCGGUGUAGCAGUGAAAUGCGUAGAGAUCGGGAGGAACAUCUGUGGCGAAGGCGACUGCCUGGACCAGCACUGACACUGAGGCACGAAAGCGU
rnacentral:rRNA from 1 species